rnacentral:piRNA from 1 species
UUAAAUUGACCCAACUCUAAACUCAUUGC